AUUGAACGCUGGCGGCAGGCCUAACACAUGCAAGUCGAACGAGUGGCGGACGGGUGAGCAAUGUCUGGGAACCUGCCUGAUGGAGGGGGAUAACGACUGGAACCGGUUGCUAAUACCGCAUCCAAUCAGCUGUUCCCAGAGGGGAUUAGCUUGUUGGUGGGGUAACGGCUCACAAAGGCGACGAUCCCUAGCUGGUCUGAGAGGAGGACCAGUCACACUGGAACUGAGACACGGUCCAGCCUCCUACGGGAGGCAGCAGUGGGGAAUAUUGCACAAUGGGCGCAAGCCUGAUGCAGCCAUGCCGCGUGUAUGAAGAAGGCCUUCGGGUUGUAAAGUACUUUCAGCGGGGAGGCGUUACCCGCAGAAGAAGCACCGGCUAACUCCGUGCCAGCAGCCGCGGUAAUUC
rnacentral:rRNA from 1 species